rnacentral:rRNA from 1 species
CAACCUUCAGCAAUGGAUCUCUUGGUUCUCGCAUCGAUGAAGAACGCAGCGAAUCGCGAUAAGUAAUGUGAAUUGCAGAUUUUCAGUGAAUCAUCGAAUCUUUGUACGCACCUUGCGCCCCUCGGUAUUCCGAGGGGCAUGCCUGUUUGAGUGUCAUU